AUAGGUUACAGAGCAGAGCGAGCAGAGCUUGCAGGCUUGCAGUUGAGGGCCUAGAAUGCUGUGCUGUUGUAGAUGAACAAAUUUUAGUUUUUAAACGGCUUGUUUCUGUGGCAACAUCCCACAUAGCACGCUGUUUCGCCAGUCUUUCAGACAACACUCACUCCUAAGUGAAUAUCACAUUGCUGGUGAUGCUGAUAUUUAUACAGCACUCGAUGUCCAACCCACUUGCAGAUCAUCAUGUGCGCUAACCAAUCACAUUGCUGGCAGCACUUGUAUUUAAACAGCAUUCGAUGUCCAGCUCACAUUUAGAUCAUAACGUGCACUAGCCAGUCAGCGCUCACAGUCGCAACUGCAAGUUUCACUCCUCCAUCAAGCAUGGUAUAAAAGGCGGAGCCCAAAGCUCACAAUCAUCAGUGACCACAUCAGCCAGUCAGCCAUCACACUUAGUCCAGAGUGAUCGGUCUUCGGAGUCAUCGGCUCUUCACUGCGUCAGGGAUGGCUGCCUCGGCUCUCUGGCGGUCAAGCCCAACCCACUGGGCAACUGGCGCAGCUGCCACCACUCCAGCAACCACGCUCCAUGACCAGACGUCUUCCAGCAACCAUGCACUGCAACCAGGCAACCUCCAGCAACUGCCGCACUGUGACCAGACAACUAACUCAGCUGCUGCCACUCCAGCAACCACGCUCCGCGACCAGACAUCUUCCAGCAACCACGCUCUGCGACCAGGCAACUUCCGACAACUGCCACACUGUGACCAGACAACUCAGCUGCUGCAACAUUAGCCAACACACCAUAGCCAACAUCUAUUUCUACUAGCGCAUGCAACCCUACAUCACCGGCCAGACAGACCAGCCAAACGGCCAUAAAACUCUAUCUACCGCGGUGGAACCAAUGGCCCUUUUCUGGGCCCGCAAACUUUCCGAAGUGGUUGUCUAUUGGAGUAUCGACAGUCCCACAGUUCCUUAAGUCUACCAGGACAAGAUAUUCAGCAAAAUAGUUAUGGACCAGAAUUCAUUUUUAUUUUUCCUCAAAAAUGUUACAUGCAUCUCAUCAGUAGGUAUACAGUACAGAUGUCCAUAGUAGAAGUGUUUGCAAUAAUUUUCUGCAUUCCACCAAUUUGAAUUACAGCAGUUAAGAAAAAUACAUAAUAAUGUUUAAGGCAAAAUUAGAGAAAAAGUUUUUUAAUCUAGUGGAAUGUAAGAACCCUCCUUUGCGUUAACACAAAGAACCUUCAUAAAUUCAUAGAAUUUGUGACUACUAAAGUAUUAAAGCUAGUGCAGUGAGUCAAAAUUGUUCUUAGAAAAUGUAAAUAGAAAAAAAAAAGAAGUUUGGAUUAAUGUAAACAUUAUUGCUACCAAAUGGUGGUAUAACUAAGGUUCAUGGUUUCUUCAAAAUAAUAUGAUUAAAUACAAGAGCAUUCAUUUGUUUUGUCAGAUGUCCUUAUUUUCUUUAAGUAAAUCCUGGUUUUAUUUUGUAAGAAAUUAAAUUACUUUCCAUGCUUCAACAUAAAAAAGCUAUUUAACUAUACACUCAAAAUUCUGGUUAUUACCAUCUUGGUACUUUGCAACAUAAUGCAACACAACAUGAGAGUGUUUUAUACAUAUUGUAACGUGGAUGGCGCAACAGGAAGUAGGGGUCACAUGAACUCUGCGUUUCUGCGAGUGACAUCACAUACCCUCACUCCUUCCAUCAUUACGCAACGCUUGGUAAACACCCCUCCCCACAAGGCUGUAAUGUCAUGCAACAGGCGAGUCCGUGCAGCGACUGUUGCUAGGCAAUCGGUAAACACG